GGGUCGGUACCAAAGCGGUCAAAUGGGGUGGACUGUAAAUCCACUGGCUUCGCCUUCGAAGGUUCAAAUCCUUCCCGGCCCACAA
rnacentral:tRNA from 1 species